rnacentral:rRNA from 1 species
AGCGAACGCUGGCGGCGUACCUAACACAUGCAAGUCGAACGAGGAUAGCGGUGUGAGCAAUCAUGCCGCGAUUCGAGUGGCGCACGGGUGAGUAACACGUGGGUAACCUGCCCUUGAGACCGGGAUACCUCCCCGAAAGGGGGGCUAAUACUGGAUACGUCCUCCGGAUCGUUGGAUCUGGACGGGGAAAGGUGGCGAAAGCUGCCGCUCGAGGAGGGGCUCGCGGCCUAUCAGCUAGUUGGUGAGGUAACGGCUCACCAAGGCGAUGACGGGUAGCUGGCCUGAGAGGACGACCAGCCACACGGGGACUGAGACACGGCCCCGACUCCUACGGGAGGCAGCAGUGGGGAAUUUUCCGCAAUGGGCGAAAGCUUGACGGAGUGACGCCGCGUGGGGGAC